rnacentral:rRNA from 1 species
GUCGUCGGGCCUCUCGAAGAAGCUCGGUCCUGAACUCCACCCUUGAAUAAAUUACCUUUGUUGCUUUGGCGGGCCGCCUCGUGCCAGCGGCUUCGGCUGUUGAGUGCCCGCCAGAGGACCACAACUCUUGUUUUUAGUGAUGUCUGAGUACUAUAUAAUAGUUAAAACUUUCAACAACGGAUCUCUUGGUUCUGGCAUCGAUGAAGAACGCAGCGAAAUGCGAUAAGUAAUGUGAAUUGCAGAAUUCAGUGAAUCAUCGAAUCUUUGAACGCACAUUGCGCCCUCUGGUAUUCCGGGGGGCAUGCCUGUUCGAGCGUCAUUAUAACCACUCAAGCUCUCGCUUGGUAUUGGGGUUCGCGGUUUCGCGGCCCCUAAAAUCAGUGGCGGUGCCUGUCGGCUCUACGCGUAGUAAUACUCCUCGCGAUUGAGUCCGGUAGGUCUACUUGCCAGCAACCCCCAAUUUUUACAGGUUGACCUCGGAUCAGGUAGGGAUACCCGCUGAACUUAAGCAUAUCA